CCACCCAGGAGCCCCAAGACUCGUGGAACUCUAGAACCCGGUUAUUAUCACUUCCAGCUGCCCCUUCAACCCCCCGUCCAUGCUUCAGAUGAAGGAAGCAGGCUCAGGAAACUCGGAACGCGGCCUUACUGGAGGUCACCCAUCACCGUAUGGCAGGGCUACAGACUGAACGCGGGACUUCUCACUCCUAGUCUAAUUAAUGCUCCUUCCUUUAGAUUAUUUAAUCUAAAGACCCUGCGACAGACGACUGAGACCCCAAAUAGAAAAUCUGGAGACAAGGCCGGAUAAAUAACACGGUGAAGGAAAGCCAGGAGGUUGUCUGGUAACCGGGAAAGCCUGAGGCCGACGUGGGAAAGAGCAACACUGUUUUCUCACAACACGGCCCUUUAUGCCGCUGUCAGAGGCAGGAGAUUGGCCGGGAUGAUGUGCAGCCCCCAACCGAUGUGCGUUUCUUACUCCCAGCACCUACUCCCUGGGCUCCAGCGAUCCGGCCUGUCCACGGGAGCACAGCGUCGGCCGCUUCACCGUGCUACAUUCCCUUCAAGGUUGGAUGUUCAAGCCAACGGCAGCCAUUCUAGGAAUGCUGAGGUCAAUGGAAUUCUACCAACACUUGCGGGGUGGGGAGGGGAGACAGCUGCCAGUGGCAGUGGCACGGAGGAUGGGAGGGCUGUCCAUCCCAGAAGAUUCUGCUGGGAGUCUGGGAGUCAGAACGCUUAGCACCCAGGGAGACGGCGACUGGGAAAUAUCUUAAGUAUUCCAGUCCUCCCCUCUUGGCACUGCAGAGGCAAGAGGGUAUAAAGCAGAGGAACCUGUCGGACGGGACCGUCAAGGCCGCCCGCCCGCUGGCUGGCUUGUCGUUGGAGGCCUCCACCUGCUAGAAGAGGCCUGAGCUUGGGCUGGAGAGACCUGCGUGAACAGGAUGCCAGUGGCCAAGAUCUCCAAGAGGUGCUGGGAAACGCUCCCUGAGAACGCACGCAGCUUGAGCCUCGCGUGCUGGGCUGGGGCGGCGGACACAAAUGCCUCAACGACAUCAUCACAAAUGCCUCAACGACAUCAUCACAAAUGCCUCAAGGACAUCAUCACGGGUAGGAAAGGGAGCUGCUCAGACAGACACGCGCGGCUGCAGAGGCGCGCGGCUGAGGGGUCAAAUUCCAGAAGUUUGGCCCCGGAGGGAAACCGAGCUCAGUUUCCUUCACGCUGGUCCCCUUUCCUCCGGCUCCCUUUCUUUUAAUGGGAAAGAUGGUUGCAGUGGGCAGGAAGAAGGGCCAGGAGGAUCGUGGUAGGGAGAGAUGUGAGCCUGGAGUCGGAAGAACAGAGAUCAGUGCAGAUGCCUCCACCUGGAACAGAAGAGAGACUCCAGAAACAGACUCACACAUAAAUGGUCAACUGAUUUACAACAAAGGUGGUAAGACAAUUCAAUGGGGGAGAGGAAGAUCUUUUCAACAAAUUCUGCCAGUUCGGCCCAUUGCUCCUAGUUCUGGCCUCCAGAGGAACGCCAAAUAACACUUCCCUGUUCAACACGGUGGACGACCCGUGAGAUACCUGAAGAUAGCCUGAGGGCCUUCUUUAUCCAGGCCUUGGCUCAUUCCUCAGAUAACACGGUGGCCCUGGCUAUUCCUCGCUGAUCGUGACCCAUGUUGCUCAGUGUCCCUCUCAAAAUGGGCCGCCUAAGACAAUAUAAUCCUACCGAUGGAAGGUGGACCACCAUCUCCUUUCUGCCGCUGCUCUAUUACAACAGUUCAGCCUAACGUGCCAUUGACAAUUUUUACCUCCAAAGCUGAUAAUAUAUUAACCUACAGCGAAUUCGAACAUUUGGGUGGGUUUUGCUUUUUUUUUUUCCCAAAAUAAAUUUUGAUGAUCCCAGGGGGCACCUGAAGAAUGGAGUGGGAAAACUGUGUCCUCACCAGUUUUGCCUCUUUAUUAAAUGUCGAUGGCUCCUGCUAGCAAAUGCAGGCUCCUGCCUCAGCCACUCCUCCCUUCGGGCCUCCUAUCGGUUACUUACCAAACUCUAGACCCUAGGAAAGUAACUGCCUUUUCAACAAUCUGCCAAGACCCACAAUCGAACACAUGGGCCUCCUCCACGCACCGUCAGUGCUAUCCCUGAUAGCUACUGGGCGCUUGCAGCAAGUGAUUAGAAGCAGACAUUGUUGGCAAUGGCCACGAAACACACACAUCCAGGAAAUGCAUUUAUGCAAAAUACCUGCCAGAUCAGACACGGAGCCUCAAAUAAAAGCCUUACCAAAAAAUGUGGAGGGGAAUGGACCAAAAAGCCCGUCUCCCAGCUUGCUUUCUCUGGGUAGCUCAAAAGCUAAGCUAUGGGGGGGAGAAGAUUCUUUGGGAGCAUUGCAGCUGUUUCUUGGAUUUUCAAAAGUAAAGUACCAACAUAUUCAACGGGCGAAAAGAAGCACUGCUUUUCCAGGCAAUUUUCUUCGAAACUUUGAGUCAUUUAAGAGGAAAAGACAAUUGAAUGUGUUUUGGCACUUUUGUUCUUUACGGUCAACUUCAGGCUGACGGUCAUU